GGCCAUAUAACGUUCAAACACCUGUUCUCGUAAGAUCCCAGAAUUGAAGCAUCGUCGAGCUUGGUUAGUACAUAGGUGGGUGACCGCUUCGGAAUACCAGGUGCUGUAAG